CGGUGGAUGCCCUGGCAGUCAGAGGCGAUGAAGGACGUGCUAAUCUGCGAUAAGCGUCGGUAAGGUGAUAUGAACCGUUAUAACCGGCGAUUUCCGAAUGGGGAAACCCAGUGUGAUUCGUCACACUAUCAUUAACUGAAUCCAUAGGUUAAUGAGGCGAACCGGGGGAACUGAAACAUCUAAGUACCCCGAGGAAAAGAAAUCAACCGAGAUUCCCCCAGUAGCGGCGAGCGAACGGGGAGCAGCCCAGAGCCUGAAUCAGUGUGUGUGUUAGUGGAAGCGUCUGGAAAGGCGCGCGAUACAGGGUGACAGCCCCGUACACAAAAAUGCACAUACUGUGAGCUCGAUGAGUAGGGCGGGACACGUGGUAUCCUGUCUGAAUAUGGGGGGACCAUCCUCCAAGGCUAAAUACUCCUGACUGACCGAUAGUGAACCAGUACCGUGAGGGAAAGGCGAAAAGAACCCCGGCGAGGGGAGUGAAAAAGAACCUGAAACCGUGUACGUACAAGCAGUGGGAGCACAGAGCAAUCUGUGUGACUGCGUACCUUUUGUAUAAUGGGUCAGCGACUUAUAUUCUGUAGCAAGGUUAACCGAAUAGGGGAGCCGAAGGGAAACCGAGUCUUAACUGGGCGUUAAGUUGCAGGGUAUAGACCCGAAACCCGGUGAUCUAGC
rnacentral:rRNA from 1 species